AGAGACUUAGGAUUAAUUAAACCAAUAGCCUUCAAAGCUAUUAAAAAGAGAUAAACUCUUAGUCCCU
rnacentral:tRNA from 1 species